ensembl:ncRNA ZK1290.18 ncRNA
UUAUAUGAAAGAAAACAUUCGCAUUCCAUGUAAAGAAAAAAUAAUGAGAGUCUAUGUAUAAAUAAAUUGCCUGGAGUUCACUCCUACAGUUCAAAAUUGAACGGGAGAAGUGUAUGUAAGAUUUGAAAGAUGAAAACUUACACACUAUU